CCAGGUGACUUGACACAGAGUUCAAGCUCUUUCCCAGAUGUGCCUUAUCUCAGAGAUCCAAAACCUAACCAAGAGCAUGAGUGACUGUGAUUCGACCCUAAAGACCAGGCACAGGGCUGGGCCUGCCUAAGUUCUGCCGGUGGUAACUGUCUUCUGAUCACGCUACAAGCCGCCAUCUGUAGGCAUGCCUCGUGAUCCAUGCUAAGCCACGGGACCAGGCUUCCCCAUCCUUGAGAACCGGCUUGGCUGGCUGUCUGAUGAACCAGAGAUCCAUGGGAAGGAAGGUCCGGAGGGCUGCAGUCCUCAUCCCUGAGACCACAGUCGACACCAGGACCUCUCAAGCCCUCCGAAGGAAAAGAACUCCAGCGGAGCCACUAAUCCUAGAGUCAACAGACAACCUGGCUGAGCAGCUUCCCUGGAGGUCUUGUUAAACAGUUGUACCGAGAUUUCCUGGUGCAGCCUCCCAGCCAUACAUAGAAGAUGGUGUCACCAGACUUCCCAGCCAUACAUAGAAGACAGUGUCACCAGACUUCCCAGCCAUACAUAGAAGACAGUAUCACCAGACUUCCCAGCCAUACCUAGAAGACAAUGUCACCAGACUUCCCAGCCAUACCUAGAAGACAAUGUCACCAGACUUCCCAGCCAUACCUAGAAGACAAUGUCACCAGACUUCCCAGCCAUACCUAGAAGACAAUGUCACCAGACUUCCCAGCCAUACCUAGAAGACAAUGUCACCAGACUUCCCAGCCAUACCUAGAAGACAAUGUCACCAGACUUCCCAGCCAUACCUAGAAGACAGUGUCACAGCAGACCUCCUUGUCCUUUGGCUCUUCCGUCCUCAGUGUCCCUGAGCCUUAGGGCAGGGACUGUGUUGCAGAUGUGAAACAAGGCCUGGCAUCCCGCCUCACUUCCACUAACUGUGGCUUUCUGCAAUGGUCUCUGUCUGCUGCUUAAUAAAU